GCCUGCUCAGCUUCAGCGUGUGUGGGGAAGGGCCAAAAGGGUUUCAAGGCCUGUGGGAUGCGGCCUGUUGACAAGACCGUCUACAAAGAUGAAGACUUUGAAGGAGCCGAAGUAACUGAGGGGCCAGAUCCAACCCUCGAGGACAGCAGGGAGAUUGAGGAGGAGAUAAGUGCUGGCCCCAGUGGAUAAUCCGUGGUUCCCAGCACUAGUGCCCACUCCCAACCACAGCCUGGAAAAAGUCUCCAGAGGCCAGCUGAAGAUGGCCCCAGUGGGUUUCUGUAUUCUAAUGUAUUUUUUAUUCCUUUUUAAAGGACCAAGUCAGUCCCCCUCCUCGAUUCUAGAAGAGCUGUCUCCUAGGACAAGAAUAAAAAACAAGAGGCCACGAAAGAGG